rnacentral:rRNA from 1 species
UACAGAGGUGGCAAGCGUUGUUCGGAAUUACUGGGCGUAAAGGGCGCGUAGGCGGUUCGUCAAGUCCUGUGUGAAAUCCCCCGGCUCAACUGGGGAACUGCACAGGAAACUAGCGGGCUUGAGUUCGGGAGAGGGAAGCGGAAUUCCGGGUGUAGCGGUGAAAUGCGUAGAGAUCGGAAAGAAUACCAACGGCGAAAGCACUCUGCUGGGCCGACACUGACACUGAGACGCGAAAGCGUGGGGAGCGAACAGG